GAUAGAGCUCGAAGCCGCCGCCGCCAACUCCGCGCCGGCGGGUGGGGGGGGGCGCGGAGAGAAGGAGGCCGCGGCCGCAGCUGGGUUUGGCCCCACUCGGCUCCCGUGGACUAAGGACCGCGAGGGCGCCGCGCCCCCAUUGGGCACCAAAGCAAAAGCCUCACCGUGAUUGGCCGCUCGCCCUCCGCCGGCCCCGCCCACUCCUUUGACAAGUGUUGCACCUCCCCGCGGGGGAAGGGGUAGGGGGCGGGGCCAGGCGGGAGAGUCCGCCGCGGAUUGGCCGGCUCGUUGCCGUGGUGAUGGGUGCCGUGCGCGCUGAUUGGCCGGGCCGUGUCUCCGUGGUGGCGGGGCAGAUUCCGGGCGCGGGUCAGGAAGUGGAGGGACAAAGGCAUUAUAUCAGUGAGGAUCCUCCUCUGCGCCCAUGACACUGCCUUGCCAGUGCAGCUGAGGGUCAGUAAGGACUGGGGUCUCCAAUUCCUAAUAUUUCUAAUAGGUAGCCAUGAGGAAAUGGGCUCUGAUUAUCCCAGCAAAUGUGCAGUGGUUUAUGAAGCCUUCACUACUCCACAUAUCCUUACAGUAUUCUAUUGUUAUUUUACAAACAGUGGCUUCAAAAAGAUUAAUGCAGAUUAUAACUGCUACCUGGACUGGAAGAAGUACCCUACCUGACUUUUAACAUAAAACUGUAUUGGUACUUGUGAUACCCAUUUGUACCUCUCAAAUUGUUUACAUAAACUUCAGUAGUAAGACUAGUUUCAGGAGUGAUCCUUCAAUAAACUAAUCCUUCAAUAAAGUUAACAAAUGCAGCAGAGGAUAAAUUUUACCGCAUGGAGAAAAAUACAUGUUGUGAUUAUAUACUUUAAAAAUGGGUCGCAUCAGGGUAUAUUCAAGUUAUUGGUAAACCAUUGUCCCACGGUCCAUCACCAACAGUUAGAAGAGGCUGCUAGGAGGAACAUUUUAUUAUAAAACAUAAUUUUUAAUUAUCUGGUAUUAUUUUCUAUCACUUAGGGGAAAAAGCUCUCAUCUUCUCUAAGCCUUUUCCUUUCAAUUAAAUUAAAAUAUAAGAAUUUCUGAGUAGUAAUCCAGAUGGUUUAGUAAGUAAAAACAUUUUACAAGUAUUUUCUUCUGGAUGUACUACCUUUCUUUAGUAGUGGUUUUUUUCCUCUUCAGCUUGUCUUUUAAAAUUCCUUAAAUGUAUUUUUUCUUGUUGUUGCUAUAUAACAGAUUGGAUUCGUUUUCUCCUUAUGCUUUUUUAAGCUUCCUUCUCCCUUGGUUUCCUCAUUACCCUUUCUUGUAUGUAGAGUUACCUCUCCUAGAUUAGGAUGAAGGUUUUACUAGGUGUAACAUGAACACCACAUCCAUGUAGAUGCAGAGGCACUCUACAGCUCAGUGUUACCAGGUCACAGAAAGCACAGGCUUUGUUUUUGCUAAUCCUUAAAUUGUGGUAUGUGCCACAACCACUGUGACAGCCAGGUGAUUCUCUGCCCUUCUCUGUUAUCAAUUGGCACUAUCAGUCCAGAGCCCAUGGAAGAUAAAGAAUGUCCUCCAGUUUUUGCUUGCUCCUGACAAAGCUUGUCAGCCAUAACACUACAAAAGGAACUUCUGCCAGUUCCACUGCUAAGGGUGACAUUUGGAUAUUAAUUUGUACCCUAAGUGGUCCUAAUACCAUUGAGCAGUGAUUUGUGGGCUCCUGUUGGUAACUGUCCUCUCCUGAUCAUCAACUCUUUGUGUAAGGGCUGGUGAUGUGCUCCCUCAGCACCACCUGUAAAUGGAAGAGGCAGAAACACAAAAGCAGUCAGCUCUUCAAGAAGUGUUUGGAAAAUGCUGUCAGGCACAUGGUGUGAGUCUUGGGUGUCCUGUGCAGGGCCAGGAGUUGGACUUGAUCCUUGUAGGUCCCCUUCCACAGGGAAGUGUGCACCCCACCGAUGGCAGUGCUGGGUUUCCUGGUGCUCAGGACACAAAGUAUAGAAAUGUUCUAGCCAAAAACUGAGAAACUAGGCUGAGCUUUCAGUGGGAUAAUGUGAAGCAUGGGUUUGGUUGGGAGAUGUUCCUGUUUCAUCUACAAUUCUUCUAAGCACUGUUUGUAUGGGGAACAGUAACAGGAGCUCUUAACAGUUCCAAGCUGUUAUUCCAGUCAUUUUUCUCUGAUACAAUGCUUGGACAAUCCCCAAGGUUUGCACACCCUCAAAACACAGAUCUCUGUUGCACGUGUGUCUGUUGGCGGUUUCUUCCUUACCUGGAAGAAAAGGGUGAAGGCACUGACAAGUGUCCUUAGCAUGCAGGGUUUUCCUUCAGUAACACCCUGUGACCAGCUGGAAUGGGAGGUUUUCAGCUGUCCCAGCUGUCAUAGUCUGUUGCUUUCUUGGUUUUGCUCUCAUUGUCCUCUUGCACGAGGUUCUCUCCUAUGGUGUUUUUCACAAUGCCCGCUUCCUGUCCCCUCCCUUCUCAGGAAGCUGUUCACUGUUACUUUAGGUUUUUCUAUUUACAAACUGUUGUUCUGCAUCUGAGGAACCUGCUGUUCCUACCAGUCCUUCCUUCUACUGUUAAAAGCAGACACCCCCGCCUCACCCCCAGCUUCACAGUCCUUACAAGGGAAAUAUCUCCACUUCCUGUGCAACAUAAGAGCAUCUGAGAUAAUAUCACUGGGUAAUUACCCAUCUUGUAAAUACUUCUCAAUCACCCCUCUGUCUUUUAUCAAUUUAAGCUUCUCUUGGAAAAUGGGUCUGUUACACACAAUUGCAAAGCAAACUUCUAGAAGAGAGCUAAAAGCACAUUUGGAGUAGGAAUAUGACACAUUCCUAGUCAGUGUUGCACUAGCACUGAUGUAAACUGCCCCAUAAUCAUUCAUGGUACAUUUACAUUUGAAGUCCUUGCUUAAAACUGUAUUUGAAUGGGAACAUUGGCAGAAACAGUGCUGAUACACUUUUCAUCAUGGUAAAAUGCCUCUUUCUAUAACAGCUGGCAUUCUGUGUUUCUGUGAUCUAGGCUAUGUAGUCACUCUUAAAAUGAAUCUUGACUAUGAAAAGGCAUAGGGAACACAAGCUAAGGCUUGGCUAAGAAUAAUUUGUUAUGUAAUUAGUACAAUGAUAAGAAUAUAUCAAAACCUCCACUCCAUGAAGCGUGGUAGGCAUAGGAAUUUUUCUCAUGUUUCUUUUCCAACCUACAGGUUUCAGCUGCUUGUAUCUUUCAGAAUUUUUCAGAUUUUUCAUUUGUUUGAAAGUUGGUCUUUUAUUUCUAGAAAGUCUGAUGGGGAGAGAAAAGUUCCUUUGAUCAGACUGCUUUUACAAUGGUGACAGUGCCUCAGAAAAUAAAAUGGAUUGCUCAUAGACAUGUACUGAUUUUGGAGUAAGUCCUUGAUAAAUCAGAGGAGCAAAAAAAAAAAAAAAAAAAAAAAAGAAAAAAAAAAAAAGGAUUUGGCAAGUCAAACUGUAAUUUUAGGUGGUAACAGGCUUCAGAAUAGAAGGAUGUAGAAUCCUUUGAUCAGAAUUGCUUUUAGUGGGAAAUCCUUUCUUCUGUCAUUGUUCCCUUCCAAAUGACAAACGACAAUGUUCUCAGUAGAAGCAGUUAAAAAGGCACACUUCAAAAUACUACAUAUGACACAUAUAUAAUUCUUUCACAGUUACUGAAUAGUAACUUCUGGAUUUUGGAGAUCUAAAAUAGUAACCUUGAAAGGCAUGUUGUCAAGUAGACUAGGUAUUCAAUUUUAUUUUCUACUCAUUUUUACUGCCAUUUGGAGCAUAUACUCAGUUACCUGGGGUAGUGAACACUAAAAAAACAAUUUUAAAAAAAAGAUACAAUGGCUUUCAGCUACUUAGCAGUGGCCUGUCAUACAUCUAAAGCUGCCAUUUUUAAGUACUUCUUCAAGUUUUUACUCUAAACGUGUUUGUAUUUCAAAAUUAAAUACAAUUUGUCUUGAAGCUUUCAGAACUGUUAUUUCCUGUUGAAAAACAGUACCACUUUCUAGAUUAAAUUGGGAUAGCAAGCAUCUGUCAAGUCUCUUCACAGAAUUUUCAUUGUUUUGUAGUGAAGAGUUCAAAACAAGUAAAUGCUUUUAAAAUUUAGACUUUAUCAUUACUUUUGUAACUGAGAACUAGAUAAUACAGGUAUUAACUUGCUACUUUUUCCUGUUACAGAGUAUCUUCUAUGCAGAAGAUCUGGUGAAGCCAAUGGGUGAAGCCAAUUUAACAAAUAAAGGAAAAUGGUUGUUUAUCUUAUUGACUUGUCAUACCUUCACAGGAAUCACUAAGAUUUAAUUUUUAGAGUGCUAAGUUCACUGCUGCUAAUCACAUUACAAUUUAUUUCUUUGAAGAAGCUGCCGAUGAAAAGCUGUCAUAGUAAAUCUUCUAACACCAUCACUGUGUGAACAUGGCUUUUUCAUCCUCUUGAAAUAAAUCGCUAGCCUAGAUGGGAAAAUAAUAGCAGAUGAUGCCAUGUACCAGUGAAAUCAGCAGCUGAAUGGAUGGCACACUGCUGGCAGAGAGAGCUUCCCUUAGUACUGGGACUGAUGCUUUGAGAUUCCAGGUUGAUGCAAGAACUGUGCAGAAAGCCAGAGUGUUUCAAGUUUUGUGCAGCUGCUUGACAGGUUACUGUCAGGUAAGAAAUCUGAUUGUAUUCUGAAUUCAGGUACAAAAAUCUAAGAAAAUUGCUCUGUCUGGGGAGGACUAAAUGUGAAACUGCUUUUUUCCAUUUGGUCUUACACAAAUUCUCCACAGAGAAGCUGGGGAGCAGAAUAGAUUCCCUUUGCAUUUAACAGUUUUUAUAGUCUUGCAAAGUUGUUUCUUAUGAAACGUUGAAAUGCCAUUUUAGCAAUAAAAAUAGCAGUACCAAGUCCUUAUGGUGUUUCCUUGUCCUCACUUAAAUGUUAUUAGUCAUUCCAUAAAGUCAAAACACUCUUGUUAAAAUCCUUUCAGUGUCAUUUCAGUGUCACUCUUUGAUGGAGACUGUGUUCACCACAAUGCAGUAGAAUUAGUAAUCUCCUUCCAAAUUUUGGUACAUUUUCCAAAAGACAGCUUUUACACUUGAUUUGGGGUUUGCAGGCUUCUUUCAAUUUUUGUUCCCCACUCCUACUGCUCUUAGACUGUACUAAUGCAAUGUUUCUGUUUUAAGAUACUAAGAUGUAUGUAAAAUAGUGAAAUCUUCCUACUAAGACUAACAGCAAGACCUCAGUCCCUGCAAGUUUUUAGACAAUUCAACUAAGGGUAGCUGUACAGAGACCUGAAUUACAGAACUCUUAUAUGUCACUUCCAAAUUCAUUCUGAGUUUCAGCUGAAUCCAGCACACUGAAUCCUAGGAGAUCAAUGACAAAUGCUGAACAGCACACCUCAUUAAUGUCACUAUGCGAGACACCAGCUGCUGUCUGUAGGUGAUCGGUUCAGCUGCUGGAUCUCAUUGUUUGUUUUAACUAAACCCAUUUCCUGGUGUUCUGGAGCAAGUUCUCUUCUCUCGACAUAAUAAAAUUUAAUUGUUCUGCAUUUGUUAGCUUUCUGUUUAGGCAUGUAGCACUGGAGGGCGCUAUAUAAAACCCAAUUAAGUUAUAUAGAUUAUCAGCCCUAUGAUGGAAUUAUUCAGACUUUCAUCCAGUAGUUUCAGUACUUUAUUUUCAAAGUCUUUUAAUAGCUAGUUUAAAACAAGAGAACAAUUAAAUGUAAAGUGUUCUUUAUUAAAUAAACUCAAAAGAUAAAGCAAAUUGUGCAGUUAAGAAAGACAACAAUGUGGCUAAAGGAUUUUUACAGCAGAAAACAAAUUGCGGCAAAUGAGCAUUUCAGUCUAGCAGCCAAACUGUCCUCAUUUUUAUGGAGUUAAUUUCGGUCCUCAAAUUGUGACUUGUUUUUUAAAAGAUAUGCUGCUAGAAAUUCAAUGGGAUUGGGCGGUCUGCAAAGAAAAAAAGUAAAUCAAAAGCAAUUAUUUGUCAUUAUAUGAAAUUAAGUAGCUGAAGGACCAAUCAGUUUCCCUUAAAAGCAACAUAGCUCCUCCCAAACACUUCCAAGCAUUGAUUUAGGGAUGACCAACUACCUAGAGUGACUCUGUAAAUUCCCAAUUUAUGUCCAAUGAGAAAGUUUUUAAAAAGGGGUUCUUACUGUGGGUUCAAUGUUACAAAAUUGCUAAAACAGUUACAUACUUACAUACCUAAAACAACAGUCUGUAAGCAUAAAUACUGUACAUACAUCAUUGGCUUUGACAUACAUUUGCCUCUUUCUGUAACUCAUGCUAUUUAAAGUAAAACUGAAUCUCUGCUUUUUUUUUCUUUCUUUUUUU